UUUCCGUAGGUGAACCUGCGGAAGGAUCAUUCAUAAUAAAGUGUUUUAUGGCACUUCUUAAAAAUCCAUAUCCACCUUGUGUGCAAUGUUAGAUCUCGUCAAUCUUGGCGAGAUUUUUAUACAUCAACUCAUUCUUUAACUAAUUUGUCUGAAAAAUAUUAUGAAUACUUAAUUCAAAAUACAACUUUCAACAACGGAUCUCUUGGCUCUCGCAUCGAUGAAGAACGCC
rnacentral:misc_RNA from 1 species